AUCAUAGUGGUGCAGCGGAAGAGUGGUGGGCCCAUAACCCAUAGGUCUGAGGAUCGAAACCUCUCUAUGAUA
rfam:Picea glauca, whole genome shotgun sequence.